GGAUCAUUGCUCAGCUCAUCACAUACCCUCUUCAGACUGUGAAUACUCGUCAGCAAACAGAGCGCGAUGUUAAGAAGGAGAAGAGGAAACUUGGAACAUUUCAACAGAUGUGUCAGGUUGUAAAACAUGAAGGAUGGGACCGGCUUUACGGUGGCUUGGGGCCGUCUCUGGUGGGUACGGCUGCAUCUCAGGGCGUUUACUAUUAUUUCUACCAAAUAUUCAGGAACAAGGCUGAAGUUGCUUCUCUUGAACGAAUGAAGGCAGGAAUUGGAGAUGGAUCUGU
rnacentral:misc_RNA from 1 species